rnacentral:rRNA from 1 species
GACUCUAAUGAAACUGCCCGCGUAAGCGGUGAGGAAGGUGGGGAUGACGUCAAAUCAUCACGGCCCUUACGUCUAGGGCUACACACGUGCUACAAUGGUGAAUACAGAGGGAAGCCAACUGGUAACAGUGAGCAAAUCCACAAAAUUCAUCUCAGUUCGGAUUGAGGUCUGCAACUCGACCUCAUGAAGCUGGAAUCGCUAGUAAUCGGAUAUCAGCCAUGAUGCGGUGAAUACGUUCCCGGGCCUUGUACACACCGCCCGUCAAGCCAUGGAAGCUGGGAGUGCCUGAAGUCGGUAACCGUAAGGAGCCGCCUAGGGUAAAACUGGUAACUGGGGCUAAGUCGUAACAAGGUAGCCGUACCGGAAGGUGCGGCUGGAAUAUCUCUUUU